rnacentral:rRNA from 1 species
AUUGAACGCUGGCGGCAGGCCUAACACAUGCAAGUCGAGCGGAUGAAGGGAGCUUGCUCCUGGAUUCAGCGGCGGACGGGUGAGUAAUGCCUAGGAAUCUGCCUGGGAGUGGGGGAUAACGUCCGGAAACGGGCGCUAAUACCGCAUACGUCCUGAGGGAGAAAGUGGGGGGUCUUCGGACCUCACGCUAUCAGAUGAGCCUAGGUCGGAUUAGCUAGUUGGUGGGGUAAAGGCCUACCAAGGCGACGAUCCGUAACUGGUCUGAGAGGAUGAUCAGUCACACUGGAACUGAGACACGGUCCAGACUCCUACGGGAGGCAGCAGUGGGGAAUAUUGGACAAUGGGCGAAAGCCUGAUCCAGCCAUGCCGCGUGUGUGAAGAAGGUCUUCGGAUUGUAAAGCACUUUAAGUUGGGAGGAAGGGCAGUAAGUUAAUACCUUGCUGUUUUGACGUUACCAACAGAAUAAGCACCGGCUAACUUCGUG